GACGAACGCUGGCGGCGUGCUUAACACAUGCAAGUCGAACGCUGAAGCCCAGCUUGCUGGGUGGAUGAGUGGCGAACGGGUGAGUAACACGUGAGUAACCUGCCCCCUUCUUUGGGAUAACGCCCGGAAACGGGUGCUAAUACUGGAUAUUCACUGAUCUUCGCAUGGGGGUUGGUGGAAAGGUUUUUUCUGGUGGGGGCUGGGCCCGCGCUUUAUCAGCUUGUUGGUGGGGGAAAAGAACUACCUUGUAUUUACCGGGCCUUGUUUUUUU
rnacentral:rRNA from 1 species